UAUAACUCUGUAUACGGAAACAAAAUAGUGUGUGGAAUGAAUAGAAACUUUUUCUUCUCUCUCAAAUUUUCUUUUCUCUCUCUAAGGAGUACACACCCACUCAAAGAGUGCUUUCUUUUAUAAAUAUGUUCAGCAGGUUGUAUCACGGGUGCUUUCAUCAUGAACCCUUUUGAGCUUAUGAAUGCCCUUCAAUCCAAAAUGGACGCCCAAUGGGCUGAGUUACGUGAUAUUCUUAAAUCAUCACUCGCCUCUCAUUCUGACACCAUUCAUUCCACUCUCCAUAGUCAUUUAUUGGAGGUUGAUUCCAAGGUUGCUAACCUCCAAUCCAAGUAUCAACAUCCACCGCACGAGUCUUCGAGAACGGCAUUGCAUUCGCUUAAACUCAGUGAUCCUCAUUCCAAUGGUUCUAAUCUAAUCAAUUGGUUGUUUCAAAUCACUGCGUUUUUUUAUUUACACGAGACAUCGGAAAACGCAUGUCUUCAGAUCGUUUCAUUUCAUAUGGAAGGUCGUGACGCCUCAUGGUUCCAGUGGGCGAUGCGCAACCACUUUCUUCGGUCAUGGAUCGUCUUCAUGGAAGUUGUUUGCCACCGCUCCGAUCCAACUCGAUCCGAAGACGUCGAAGGUUAUUAGUCUAAACUUUCUAAAAUCGAUUCAGUAGCGGAUUUCCAGAAUGAAUUUGAAGAUAUCAUGAACAAAGUUACAGCUUUAACAGUCUGCACGGAAACGAUCAUAACUGGAGUUCCAGGAGUCCGAUUGAGGUGUUCUAAUAAUCUACGGAAAGCUAAGAGAAAGAGCUACAAUUCUUAUGUUGGAGUCGAAGUCAGAAUCGGACUGUAGAAGGGCCAGAAAAUUCGUUGAAGUUGCAGCACUAGUUUUAGUUAAGUUUCGGGUCAAUUAGUUUUGGGCUUGGGUCGUAUGUUUGACCCAGUUGGAUUGUAAAACGGGUUGUACUUUUCCCCCUUAGGGAAGCAGCCGCGGUACUGUAGCAUGGAUAAUCACUAUUCACGAUUUUGAAGCUUGGUACAAUUUCUAUGGAGCACUAACAAAAUCCUGUCGAAUUGCUGUAUUCAGGUUCCGACCUUGAGGUUAUUUUAAUUUUAAUCUAGUAUUUA